AUUGAACGCUGGCGGCAGGCCUAACACAUGCAAGUCGAGCGGCAGCGGGAAAGUAGCUUGCUACUUUUGCCGGCGAGCGGCGGACGGGUGAGAAAUGCCUGGGAAAUUGCCCAGUCGAGGGGGAUAACAGUUGGAAACGACUGCUAAUACUGCAUACGCCCUACGGGGGAAAGCAGGGGACCUUCGGGCCUUGCGCGAUUGGAUAUGCCCAGGUGGGAUUAGCUAGUUGGUGAGGUAAUGGCUCACCAAGGCGACGAUCCCUAGCUGGACUGAGAGGAUGUACAGCCAACCUGGAACUGGGACACGGUCCGAACUCCUACGGGAGGCAGCAGGGGGGAAUAUUGGACAAAGGGGGAACACCUGAAGCAGACAUGCCGCGUGGGUGAAGAAGGCAUUCGGGUUGUAAAGCACUUUCAGCGAGGAGGAAAGGUUGAUGCCUAAUACGUAUCAACUGUGACGUUACUCGCAGAAGAAGCACCGGCUAACUCCGUGCAAGCCGCCGCCGUAACAC
rnacentral:rRNA from 1 species